rnacentral:rRNA from 1 species
UACGUAGGGUGCGAGCGUUAAUCGGAAUUACUGGGCGUAAAGCGUGCGCAGGCGGUAAUGUAAGACAGAUGUGAAAUCCCCGGGCUUAACCUGGGACCUGCAUUUGUGACUGCAUUGCUGGAGUGCGGCAGAGGGGGAUGGAAUUCCGCGUGUAGCAGUGAAAUGCGUAGAUAUGCGGAGGAACACCGAUGGCGAGGCAAUCCCCUGGGCCUGCACUGACGCUCAUGCACGAAAGCGUGGGAGCAACA